CAGACCAUCUUACGGAGAUUAAGAAUAGUCUCUAAUUUAACUCUCAGUUUGGCUGGUAUAUAUAGCUGGCUGUUUCAGUAUAUAUAUGUAUAUGUAUAUGUUUAAUUAUGUCACUGUGCAGUCAAUGCUAAAAUAACAAAACACGAAGCACCGAUCUCUUUCGACUGUCGGCAUCAAUCUUGUACUAGACUGUGUGUUAUUUAUGUUUGAUCCUAAUUUAUUAUUAGCGUAUUAUUUUGAUUGUAUGCUGCAGACACUGGUUUUCAAAGGAAUCUCUACAUUAAACUACAAAAAGAGUGGGAUGGCAGUGUUAUGUUAAUAGUUUGGGUUGGAGCGUAUAUGGGGCUUAUGUCUUUGUAUGUGAUUACGUCAUCUACCAGCCCUGCUGCUGCCUUCCACCAUGCACGCUGCACAGAUUUUUUUUUUUAAAGAAUGUCUUCAUAGCAUAUAUCCCACUAUUCAGCAUUUAAUUAAUACACGAACUACAUCAAAAGCUAUAGAACAUUAAAAUAUUGGAAAUGAGAAGAGGUAUUUUAGCCCAUCAAGGUUUGUCCCUUUUCGAAUGACCACAGUGUUUUACUGACACCACCUGGAAGUAAAUUAUUCAUAUCCCUUUGUUUAUUACAGUCCACUCAUCAAGCCAAGCCGAGCAGAUGACCAUGGCCAAGAAUUUUGAUGUCAUCCACCUUGGUGCAAAAAACACUGUGCAAGUAAAGGCUGAGAAGUCUGUUCCCUUUGUGAUUCAUGACCUAUUAAUAUAUUGAAAAGUAUGGGAGUCAGACCAUCUGGGCAGAUUACAGAAGGAACCACAAGAGAGGGAUCCCCCCUCAGAAAACACGCAAAACCUGCAUUAGAGGAGACAAAAUCUGUGGUAACCCUUGUCCAGUGUGCAGGGACCCAAAGAUCCAGGUGGACUACAGGGGGUGUGUAUGAAGCAGCACAAGAACCUGACCAGAGCUACUGACUCUGCCAGAGACCAUGCAUCCAGCACAGCCACAAAGCCUACAGAUUGCAUGAUGUACAGUAGGAGUUGGACCACCGCAUAGGGACUUGCCAACAUUCAAAAAAAGUAUCCAAUUGAACUGAACCUACCAUUUGAGAUGCAAUAAAAAUGUGUGCCUGUGUACCCCCCCCCCCAGAAGGAGAUCACCAAGGUGCGCCAGGUCUACCACAAAUAUCUGAAUGAGAAGGCAGUGAACAGGAAUAGUGGCCGCGGGAGCGUCAAACCUCAAUGCGUUUUACUGCAGGAUUUCAAAGUUUUACAAUCUAUUUCGUAACCAUUUAUUAGCUGCUGUGGUUUUCUCUGUUCCCUUUAUGACAGUGCAGUAAAUGUGUUACACGUUCUCUGAAGGUGUAAUACUGUAAAGCAGCCCUCUUUUUCCAUCUUAGUCCGCACCAAUUAGGGUCCUGCAUGUUUCAUAUCCAGAACAGAUUCCAGGACUAACAGAGAGGGCUGAUCUGGUAUUAUUUUGUGCAAGUUGUUUAUUAUAUUUAUCAUCAGAUUUCAGACUUUGUGUAAAUUUGGUUUUAAUCCAUGACAAUAAUGUUGCCAUUCUGAUGAGGAUUAUUAUUAUUAACAACAAUAAUAUCUACAGCAUUGUUUGAUUGCCCUUGUACCGUCCAUAUUGUCUCCCCAAUACUAAAUAUGCAAAUAAAGAUGUCCGAUUAUUUACAACCUGACCCAGUUUUGGUAUGUGCUACCCAAGACAUUCUUUAUAGAAUUGCAGAUCAUUACAUUUUGAGGAGGUUAUGGGUUUAGGAAACAAUCCUUUGCUAAUACAUUGACUGUGUGACAGACAUCUAUCCACUAAUUGUUUUGGAUUCCAAAUAUUAAUCACUUAUAUCAUUUGGUUAUUACAUCAUUUCCUAGCAAAAUCAGAGAGCAGA